AGAUUAAGUUAUUAAGGGCGCACGGUGGAUGCCUUGGCACUAGAAGCCGACGAAGGACGUUACUAACGACGAUAUGCUUUGGGUAGCUGUAAGUAAGCGUUGAUCCAGAGAUUUCCGAAUGGGGGAACCCAGCACGAGUUAUGUCGUGUUAUCGACAAGUGAAUUCAUAGCUUGUCAGAAGGCAGACCCGGAGAACUGAAACAUCUUAGUACCCGGAGGAAGAGAAAGAAAAAUCGAUUCCCUGAGUAGCGGCGAGCGAAACGGGAAGAGCCCAAACCAAUAAGCUUGCUUAUUGGGGUUGUAGGACACUCUAUACGGAGUUACAAAGGAAUAUAUUAGACGAAUCAUCUGGAAAGUUGAAUCAAAGAAGGUAAUAAUCCUGUAGUUGAAAAUAUAUUCUCUCUUGAGUGGAUCCUGAGUACGACGGAGCACGUGAAAUUCCGUCGGAAUCUGGGAGGACCAUCUCCUAAGGCUAAAUACUCUCUAGUGACCGAUAGUGAACCAGUACCGUGAGG
rnacentral:rRNA from 1 species